rnacentral:lncRNA from 1 species
AUGAUUUUUGAGUGUAGAGCGUACGUGAGGUUCGUGGCGGAGAACAAGCAUUCCGUGGUUCCCGUCGAAUUUAUCAAAGACUAUAAGGAGCCCUUUGAAUGCUCGGACACGGAGAUCCGCGAGGUAUUUUGGAGCAACAACAGCGACCACACGCCUGAGACCGUCAAAGCGAAAACUGGAAAGCUGUUGAACAUAGACGAGGAGAUGUCCAAAGCAAAAACUGGAAAAGAAAGGGAGAAAUUGAAGAACGCAGAAGGUUACUACAACGCCAAAGUCCUAAUAGUGAAAGGUAAUAAUGAGGAAUUGACCAAUUUCUUGGACACACGAGAGGGCAGGAGACUCCAAACUGUCAAAGGAAAAGUUGGGGACACAGGAGCAAAAUCCAGUGAUGUUAAGUCCAAGGAAUCAAGUUCUUCAAAACCAUUGAAGAGAAAGGCGAAUGACAAUCUGUUGAAGAGCGGUAUCAGCUACUCUGCCAGUAGGCUAUGUGGAGAGGUUAACCCCAUAAAACGGCUACGAAGCAAUUUGCUGAAGGGUUUUAGUGGAGUAGACUCCGAGGAAGAUUCAGGUGAUGACGAGAACCUUAUAGUAGAGAGCGAAAAGCAGGCAGCGGUGGAAGUUGUUGAGGCAAAGUGGAACGAGAAAUAUUCCAACCUUAAAGAUAAGUAUACAGAUCUAAAACGUAGGCAUGAUAAGGUAGUGGAAGAUUGUGAUGAUUACAGACGUAAGUAUGAGGUUGUAUUAGGAGAAUUACGAACAACUCACAAAGUAAAUCUCAGGCUACAGACCAUCCUUUGCGAUUCCCUAGAAAAAUAUAAUUUAAAAAUUUCAUUAAACACUGCUCCCUCUAAUCUUGACAAAAUUCCCUGCCAAGUCAACCAAAAUUCUCCUGUUUCGUUAGAGCAUCAAAAGGAAACCUUCUCAGACGCAGGAACCCAGAAAAACCCUACUCUUCCCACUUUUUCACCAGCAAACACCUCCUCACCCAUCAAUAGACAACAAUCUCCCACUUUUUCACCAGCAAGCACCUCCUCACCCAUCAAUAGACAACAAUCCACCUCCAUUAAGCCUUCUAUUAAGCUCAACACAGUAAAUCCGGAUGCUUCAGUAGACCUGUUUCAAUCACCCGUAUCAAAAACCAUCAUUUCACAAAAAUCUCCUUGUACGGCCAGAACGGAUUCUUCCUUUUCAUUAUCAUCUCCCCAGGUUUCAAAUUCUUUAGAUACCCCUAACUCUAUUAUUGACGAUUCAGAGUCGAGCAUAGUUACCGAAACAUCUGCAAAGAAGUACCGAACAUUGAAUGCUCAACAGUUAUCAAUGGCAUCUAGAUGCAGGUCUGGAACUGAAGGUGAUUCUGUUUUUAUCAGGAAUCUAUCGGAGAUGGUUUUCACUCGGGAAGUUUUAUUGAAAUCAAGUGUAUUUGGUAUAGCUAGUAAUGCCAAUAAAAAUGCAGCUGUAAAGCCACGACUAGAUGAAGAUGGUGUAGCCUAUAUUAGAACCCUUUUUGAAGAAAGAGUUAGGAAAGAAAACCCCGAAGUUCCUAAAGAAGCUCUUAAAACUCUCAUAAAGCUCCGAACAAAGCCCAUGAAUUCAAUGAUUUCAAGAAAAAUUAAAGAUUUAGUGAAUGCAGUAAAUGGAACAGGUAGAAAAAAACCUCAAGAAAUAUUCCGUGCUGCCCCUGUCCCAAAACCUUCCACAAGUACUUCUAAUGAAAUAGAAACGGAAGAUGCAAUUGUCUCUGAAGCUCAACCAUCUCUUGUAUUAGUCCAACCUGAAAUGCCCGACCUUACUUCGUAA